UUUCUCUUAUUUCGUCUUAGCCAAACGAUAUUGGUUAAAACUCCUGACGGAGUCUAAAUAGUCCUACAUCAGAUUGGUAUCAGAGCGAAGUUCGACCAUGGCAGAUAACCAAGAGGCGCGACUUGCUGCGAUUGAGGCAUCCUUAGCAGAAUUGAAGGAGAUGAUCAGACAACUGAUCCUACAGCAGGGAAUCCACCAACCCGCCGCUGCCGCAAACCCCC
rnacentral:lncRNA from 1 species